UGGGGAAUAUUGGGGCAAUGGGGCGCAAGCCUGACCCAGCAACGCCGCGUGAAGGAAGAAGGCUUUCGGGUUGUAAACUUCUUUUAAGGGGGAAGAGUAGAAGACGGUACCCCUAGAAUAAGCCACGGCUAACUACGUGCCAGCAGCCGCGGUAAUACGUAGGAUGCGAGCGUUAUCCGGAUUUAUUGGGUUUAAAGGGUGCGCAGGCGGGCGUCUAAGUCAGCGGUGAAAGUUCCCGGCUCAACCGGGUCAGUGCCGAUGAUACUGGGGGCCUUGAAUGCGGUCGAGGCCGGCGGAAUGUGGCGUGUAGCGGUGAAAUGCAUAGAUAUGCCACAGAACACCGAUAGCGAAGGCAGCUGGCCGGGCCUGCAUUGACGCUGAGGCACGAAAGCGUGGGGAUCGAACAGGAUUAGAUACCCUGGUAGU
rnacentral:rRNA from 1 species